rnacentral:rRNA from 1 species
AUUGAACGCUGGCGGCAGGCCUAACACAUGCAAGUCGAACGAGUGGCGGACGGGUGAGUAAUGUCUGGGAAACUGCCAGAUGGAGGGGUAUAACUACUGGAAACGGUAGGUAAUACCGCAUACCCACAGAUGUGCCCAGAAGGGAUUAGCUCGUUGGUGGGGUAACGGUGCACCAUGGCGACGACCCCUAGCUGGUCUGAGUGGAUGACCAGCCACGCUGGAACGGAGACACGGUCCAGACUCCUACGAGAGGUAGCAGUGGGGAAUAUUUACCAAUGGGCGCAAGCCUGAUGCAGCCAUGCCGCGUGUAUGAAGAAGGCCGUCGGGUUGUAAAGUACUUUCAGCGUUGAGGCGUUACCCGCAGAAGAAGCACCGGCUAACUCCGUGCCAGCAGCCGCGGUAAUUC